rnacentral:rRNA from 1 species
AGGCUGUCUCCACCCGAGACUCAGUGAAAUUGAAAUCGCCGUGAAGAUGCGGUGUACCCGCGGCUAGACGGAAAGACCCCGUGAACCUUUACUAUAGCUUGACACUGAACAUUGAAUUUUGAUGUGUAGGAUAGGUGGGAGCCUUUGAAGCGGUCACGCCAGUGAUUGUGGAGGCGUCCUUGAAAUACCACCCUUUAACGUUUGGUGUUCUAACGAAGAUUGCGGAACGCGGUCUCGGACAGUGUCUGGUGGGUAGUUUGACUGGGGCGGUCUCCUCCCAAAGAGUAACGGAGGAGCACGAAGGUUUGCUAAUGACGGUCGGACAUCGUCAGGUUAGUGCAAUGGUAUAAGCAAGCUUAACUGCGAGACGGACAAGUCGAGCAGGUACGAAAGUAGGUCAUAGUGAUCCGGUGGUUCUGAAUGGAAGGGCCAUCGCUCAACGGAUAAAAGGUACUCCGGGGAUAACAGGCUGAUACCGCCCAAGAGUUCAUAUCGACGGCGGUGUUUGGCACCUCGAUGUCGGCUCAUCACAUCCUGGGGCUGAAGUAGGUCCCAAGGGUAUGGCUGUUCGCCAUUUAAAGUGGUACGCGAGCUGGGUUUAGAACGUCGUGAGACAGUUCGGUCCCUAUCUGCCGUGGGCGUAGGAGAAUUGAGGGGGGCUGCUCCUAGUACGAGAGGACCGGAGUGGACGCACCACUGGUGUUUCGGUUGUGUCGCCAGACGCAUUGCCGAGUAGCUAAGUGCGGAAGAGAUAAGUGCUGAAAGCAUCUAAGCACGAAACUUGCCUCAAGAUGAGUUCUCCCAGACUUAGAGUCUGUAAGGGUUGUUGGAGACGACGACGUAGAUAGGUGGGGUGUGUAAGUGUAGUGAUACAUUGAGCUAACCCAUACUAAUUGCCCGAGGGGCUUAACUAU